rnacentral:rRNA from 1 species
AUGAACGCUAGCUACAGGCUUAACACCUGCCAGUCGGGGGGCAGCAUGGUUUUAGCUUGCUAAGGCCGUUGUCGACCGGCGCACGGGUGAGUAACACGUAUCCAACCUGCCGUCUACUCUUGGACAGCCUUCUGAAAGGAUGAUUAAUACAAGAUGGCAUCAUGAGUCCUCAUGUUCACAUUAUUAAAGGUAUUCCGGUAGACGAUGGGGAUGCGUUCCAUUAGAUAGUAGGAGGAGUAACGGCCCACCUAGUCUUCGAUGGAUAGGGUUUCUGAGAGGAAGGACAAUCACAAAGGAACUGAGACAACGUACAAAGAGCUACGGGAGGAAGCAGUGAAGAAUAUUAGUCAAUGGGCGAGAGCCAGAACCAACCAAGUAGCGUGAAGGAAGAAUGCCCUAGGGGUUGUAAACAUCUGUUAAAAAGGAAUAAAAGCGGGUAUGGAUACCCGGUUGCAUGUACUUGAUGAAUAAGGAUCGGCUAACUCCGUG